rnacentral:rRNA from 1 species
UGGGGAAUAUUGGACAAUGGGCGCAAGCCUGAUCCAGCGACGCCGCGUGUGUGAAGAAGGCCUGCGGGUUGUAAAGCACUUUCGAUGGGAACGAAAUGUGCCGGGUUAAUACCCCGGUAAGCUGACGUUACUCAAUGAAGAAGCACCGGCUAACUCUGUGCCAGCAGCCGCGGUAAUACAGAGGGUGCGAGCGUUAAUCGGAAUUACUGGGCGUAAAGCGCACGUAGGUGGCGACGUAAGUCGGGUGUGAAAGCCCCGGGCUCAACCUGGGAAUUGCAUUCGAGACUGCAUUGCUGGAGUACGGAAGAGGAGGGCGGAAUUCCCGGUGUAGCGGUGAAAUGCGUAGAUAUCGGGAGGAACAUCGAUGGCGAAGGCAGCCCCCUGGGCUAACACUGACGCUCAUGCACGAAAGCGUGGGGAGCAAACAGGAUUAGAUACCCAUGUAGUCCCUGAGCGGGCUGGCAAGGCGCAU